GGAUUGUAGGCUGAAACCCGCCUACAUGAAGCUGGAAUUGCUAGUAAUCAUAGGUCAGCAUACUAUGGUGAAUACGUUCCCGGGCCUUGUACACACCGCCCGUCACACCAUGAGAGUUGAGAAUACCCGAAGUCCAUGUCAAAGUGGCCGAAGGUAGGCUUGAUGAUUGGGGUGAAGUCGUAACAAGGUACC
rnacentral:rRNA from 1 species